rnacentral:rRNA from 1 species
AUACGGAGGGUGCAAGCGUUACUCGGAAUCACUGGGCGUAAAGCGCGCGCAGGCGGCUAUUUAAGUUGGAUGUGAAAGCCUACGGCUCAACCGUAGAACUGCAUCCAAAACUAUUUAGCUAGAGUGUGGGAGAGGAAGAUGGAAUUAGUUGCGUAGGGGUAAAAUCCGUAGAGAUAACUAGGAAUACCAAAAGCGAAGGCAAUCUUCUGGAACACUACUGACGCUGAGGCGCGAAAGCGUGGGGAGCAAACGGGAUUAGAUACCCUAGUAGUCC